UUCGGCCCGUAAACCUCUGUCAUUUGCGAACAAACGUCAUGGUUGAACAUUCCAUGGCUUGAUUGUAGCGAAAGAGGAAGGGACGGCUAACUCUGUGCCAGCAGCCGCGGUAAUACAGAGGUCCCAAGCGUUGUUCGGAUUCACUGGGCGUAAAGGGUGCGCAGGUGGGUUUGCAAGUUCGAUGUGAAAGCCCCGGGCUUAACCCGGGAAUGGCAUUGGAUACUGCAGAUCUGGAGGAUUGGAGGGGGGACUGGAAUUCUUGGUGUAGCAGUGAAAUGCGUAGAUAUCAAGAGGAACACCAGUGGCGAAGGCGAGUCCCUGGACAAUUCCUGACACUGAGGCACGAAAGCUAGGGGAGCAAACAGGAUUAGAUACCCUGGUAGUCCUAGCUGUAAACGGUGCGCAUUUGCUGUAAACGGAAUCGACCCCGUUUGUGGCGAAGCUAACGCGAUAAAUGCGCCGCCUGGGAAGUACGGUCGCAAGAUUAAAACUCAAAGAAAUUGACGGGGGCCUGCACAAGCGGUGGAGUAUGUGGCUUAAUUCGAUGCAACGCGAAGAACCUUACCUGGCCUUGACAUGCAAGUAGUAGAACCAUGAAAGUGGGACGAGCCCGCAAGGGCAGCUUGCACAGGUGCUGCAUGGCUGUCGUCAGCUCGUGUCGUGAGAUGUUGGGUUAAGUCCCGCAACGAGCGCAACCCU
rnacentral:rRNA from 1 species